AUCAGAUUUUUUUAGUGCUCCCAUCGAGGACUUCCUCAUCGAUGAUUCUGAGGAUGGGGAGGAAGACGAUGGGAGUCUUACACUUCCCUUUGAAGGUGACGGUCCUCCAUUGGAAGAAGUGGAUCUUGCAACCGUUCUGAAAAAAUUUCAAGAGGAUCACCUUUAUGGUGAAUUGGGAUCCACCAUUCCAAUCAGGAGGAAGAGGAUUCUGGAGGGUGUUAUGAAGGCCAUCUCCAGAGUCAGCUUCUCUUGGACCCCAUAUCACCCCAUAUUGAGUUCAUAGGAGAAGAAGCAGAUGAUAUGGGGGGGCCACAGCGAGAGUUUUUCAGACUCAAAGCCUUCGAUCCGAGCCUCUUUCUGCUGAUGUGUGGUCAGGAUCCCCAGCUGGACCAGUUCGACUGGCAUGUGCUGCCUGACCCAGAGGUCCAAAGCAAAGUGGAAAGAGUGCUUCCUUAGAAUGGCCAAGAUGAUCAAUCAGUUCAAAGAUGGAAUGAAUGCGUUUGGGGAACUGUGGGACAUCAUCAAGGCAAACUGGAUAGCGUUCCUGCCAUUAUUUACUAACAUGCAGGAACCACUAUCCAAGGAGGCCUUUAAGGCCAUUUUCCUCUACGCCUACAGCAGCAGUGGAAGCAACAACCGUGAGGCAGAGGAGGACACUAUCUACUGCUGGGAGAUGGUGCUUAACAUGAUCGAAGGUACAUUGUAUUCCCUUGGGGAAAUUAUGGUGGCAGUAGUUAGGAAAUCUUAUAAAAAUAAAUUACACAAUACAUAAACAUAAAGGCACACUUGAAACGUACCAUAAAAGAUGGCAAAUAUUCAUAGUGUUAUUGUGGGAGUUUUUUCAGAUUUCUAACAAGGCAAGUUAUGUUACGCUAAUGUAGCCAAAGCCAUUAGAGCAAUGGCAACAUUAAAGUUUUUAUGUCAUCAACUGUACCUUUUGUGUCAAACAUGUACUGUAAAGCCGGUCAUGUUUAUGAAGCCAGAAUAGGACUGCAGGUCCCGACCACACUGCGUUGUGUUCUGGUGCACAUUGACAUGCUGGACACAGGGAUAUAUUGCUGAACUCAGGUUUAUUCCUGGGAUAUAACCAAAGAAGCUAAAAGGCUGUCACAUGGAUUUAUCUCUUCUCAUCAACACUCCUCUCGCAGUCAAAUACAGGGCAGACUGAUGAGAGACUGGAACUGAUGCCGUACAUACUCUAACCCUCUGUGACGCUCAGUCAUUUAGGUUUCUGGUUUUCUGUCUUGUGUUUUCUAUUUCCUGUUUUAUUUUGUAGCCUUGCUCUCACUGUCUUGUUUCAGCUUCUUGGUGUCUCACUUCCUGUCUGUGAUUGUGAUCUCCAAUCCUCAUGUGUUUCACCUGGUGUAAUUGCCCCGGCCUUCCUGCUUUGUAUUUAAGCCUCUGUUUCCCUUUGUCUGGUGUCGGGUUGUACUCGUUGUUUUCUCCACACGUCGUAAGAGAUGGUUUGUUUGUUCCUGCUGUUUCGUCCAGCUUCUCCUGCUUCCUCGUUCCUUGUUCUCCGUGCGCCUUGUCGCCAGUGUAACUUUUGUUAGU